CAGUCGCCGCGGGAAUACGAAGGGUGCAAGCGUUAAUCGGAAUUACUGGGCGUAAAGCGUGCGUAGGCGGUUUGUUAAGUCUGUUGUGAAAUCCCCGGGCUCAACCUGGGAAUGGCAAUGGAUACUGGCAAGCUAGAGUGUGUCAGAGGAUGGUGGAAUUCCCGGUGUAGCGGUGAAAUGCGUAGAGAUCUGGAGGAAUACCGGUGGCGAAGGCGGCCCCCUGGACAAAGACUGACGCUCAGGUGCGAAAGCGAGGGGAGCAAACAGGAUUAGAGACCCGUGUAGUCCCUGUCUCUUAUAC
rnacentral:rRNA from 1 species